GCCUCGAUGGUGGAAUUGGUAUACACACACGCUUGAGGGGCGUGGCUGUUAUCAGCGUGAGGGUUCAAGUCCCUCUCGAGGCA
rnacentral:tRNA from 1 species